rnacentral:rRNA from 1 species
UGGGGAAUUUUGGACAAUGGGCGAAAGCCUGAUCCAGCAAUGCCGCGUGUGUGAAGAAGGCCUUCGGGUUGUAAAGCACUUUUGUCCGGAAAGAAAUCCUUGGCUCUAAUACAGUCGGGGGAUGACGGUACCGGAAGAAUAAGCACCGGCUAACUACGUGCCAGCAGCCGCGGUAAUACGUAGGGUGCAAGCGUUAAUCGGAAUUACUGGGCGUAAAGCGUGCGCAGGCGGUUUGCUAAGACCGAUGUGAAAUCCCCGGGCUCAACCUGGGAACUGCAUUGGUGACUGGCAGGCUAGAGUAUGGCAGAGGGGGGUAGAAUUCCACGUGUAGCAGUGAAAUGCGUAGAGAUGUGGAGGAAUACCGAUGGCGAAGGCAGCCCCCUGGGCCAAUACUGACGCUCAUGCACGAAAGCGUGGGGAGCAAACAGGAUUAGAUACCCUGGUAGUCCACGCCCUAAACGAUGUCAACUAGUUGUUGGGGAUCAUUCCUUAGUAACGUAGCUAACGCGUGAAGUUGACCGCCUGGGGAGUACGGUCGCAAGAUUAAAACUCAAAUGAAUUGACGGGGUCAUAGCUG